AGUUUGAUUUCAGGGUGUGGCCUCAGGUAGGACAUAGCGAACGCAGAACAAGGGAAAAAUCGCGCAGGGGUGCAGGGGCAGCAAGGCAAGGAGCCCCGCUGCCGAAGGAACGACCCUUGCCCAGCGCUUUCCCUCCAACCUCUUGGCUCCAGCUCCCACCUACCCUGACACGGCCGCUCCCAUAGCUGUCUGCCCGCCACGCAAAGACCCGACCUGGAUUAUCCGCUGAGCACCGGCUGUGCUAAAAAUGAAAUCCAGUGCCUCACACAAGUUAAGCAAGCACACUGCUAUUGAGCCACAACUUCAGCCGGCAAGGUGUAUUCUUUUUCUUUUCUCUGACUGGACACUGUUGGCCUGAUUCUGUUAGACAAACCAUGACCUCCGGUGGCUGCCCAGGAAGCUGACUAGUUAAGGUCCAUGCAAGGAGGACAGGGCAGGUGGUACAAGUAUGGCUUUCCCCACAUAUUAGUUAUCCAGGAACAUGGAUGUGGUGGUCUAAUACUGACUUUGAGAAUUUGGAUGUGCUGUAUAGAGGGAGGAAGUAGAGAUUAGUUGCUAAGAAUUCAAAAUGAACCACAAACCAAAGUUAGAAUGAAAUGUAUUAUGUGAUUGAAUUUAGAAUCAACAUCCUAAAUUACUUUAUCGUGACUCACAAAUGCACAUGUGAAUUAUUUUCUUUUAAUAUAGAUGCCUAUGUACCAAAACCAUAGUUCCAAGCACUACCUUUGAACUAUAAAAACUACAGUAAGUGUGAAUAUUAUUAAAAAUGAACUGGUAUUUAAUUUAUUUGAAUCCAGGAUUGGGUAUCCCAGAAUAACUACUGGAUAAGUCCUUCACCUUACAUAGAGUAAAUCCCAGAACCCCUAGAUUCUUCCCACCUUGGGAGAAAACAGUUGGGCUUGGGUAUUUAGAGAGGCACAGAGUCCUGAAGGAGACUGACCCAGAUUAAUAUGCCAGAUGUGCCAGAGAAAAAAAUUCCCAUACAAGAUAUGAGAGUAGACUAGAGAACUCUUGGGCCACCAUAGUACCACAUUUCUGAACUUCCAGUCCCUUCUACAUGUGGUUCAGGUGCACGAGGUUGGAUGUUGCCCUACAUAUUGGGAUGACUAGGACAUACAGGGUGGGUCCUGAGUGAUUAAUUCCUAUGUGUGACUCUCUCCUCUCUGAUCCAUAUGCAGCUCAGCUCUGUUCAGGAAGAGAGCAGAAGUGUGGUAAGUGUCAGGAGCAGUUUUGGGGACAACACUUCCUCCUGUGUUCCCAUGCCUCUCUCUGGCCCCCUUCCAUACUGAGCAAAGGGAUGGGGCAGGCACAUGCCCCUCUGAUGAGCCUUGUCUGCUGGCUGAGGGAGUUUUCCAGGCACUGCCAUUCUAUACACUGGCCUGGAGCCCUGGACGCAGGCACCAAAAACAGACAUUUCACCGUAGAUGGGGCUUUUGGAGCCUUGCCUGCUCUGGGGCAUUGGCUGGCCAGCAUGGUCUGCAAGGGCCUCUGGGCAGGCCCAGGGUGGGGCAGCCACUUCCCAGUGUUCUCUCAGACUGUGGUUGUCAGAACUGUUUUAACAUCUGAGCACUAGCAGCCAGGGCUGAGAGCCCAAGUUAGGGCCAAAGAGGAAAGAUAUGGAUCAACUUGUGGUUUAGAAAUACAAACACAUUAUCCUCUCUCUGCACCUUUCUGCUCACGACUUGAAAAGCUUCCUGGGGAUCAGGAACCUGCUAACAAGCUCUCUUAUGUCUUACAGGGCUCCUUCCUCUGGAUGCCUCUGCUGUCCUUUGAUAAUAGUAACAAUAAUGCCUGCCAAUUACUGAACACUUCUGAUGGGUCUGAUGGGCCCAGCCCUGUGCUAAACUGCACAUAUUAUCUCAAUCUUCACAGGGAUCCUUGGAUAUAAGCAUUAUACUAUUGUUAUUCUUGUUUUACAGAUGAGGAAACUGAGGCACAGAGUGGUUAAGGAACUAUCUUAAGAUCUCAUAAUUAUUACUAUAUACAGAAUGUUUGUGUACCUCCCAAAUUCUUAUGUUGAAAUUUAAUCACCAAUGUAAGGGUAUUAGGAGGUAGGGCCUUUGGGAGUGAUUAGUUCAUGAAGGCAGAACUCUCAUGAAUGGGGUUAGUGUCCUUAUAAAAGUGACCCUGGAAAGGUCCCUGGCUCCUUCAGCCAUGUGAGGUUAUAGUGAAAAGAGCCAUUUAUGAAUCAGGAAGUGGACCUUCACCAGAUAACAAAUCUGCCAGCAUCUUGAUCAUGGACUUUCCAGCUUCCAGAACUGUAAGAAACAAAUUUCUGUUGUUUAUAAGUCACCAGUCUAUGGUAUUCUGUUUACAGCAGCCCAUUUGGACUAAUUUGGACUAAAGGACUAAGCUAGAAUUUGAAUCUAAGUAUUGAAUUUGAAUCUUGACUAGCACAUGCAAGGCACUGGGUUCGAUCCUCAGCACUUCAUAAAAAUAAAUAAAGGUAUUGUGUCCAACUACAACUAAAUAUAUAUAUAUAUAUAUAUACAAUACCUUUCCUUUAUUUUGUUUUUAUUUUUAUGUGGUACCAGGGAUAGAACCACAUAAAAAUAUAUAUUGGCAGGUGCAAAGCUCCAAGGCCUGGCAGGCUUGGCAGGCAGCAACUGCCAGGCCCAAGGAGCCCUUAGGCAGGAGGGAGGUAGUAUCGAGACUGUAGCCCAUUUGUCUCUGUAGACUUAUAGCAUGCCGUUAGCCUCAAUUUCUUGUCAUGCAUAACUGGAAAGAGCAUCUCCUCCCUUGGGAAGGUGGUGGAGUGAUGAAGUCUAGAGCAUUAGGGUACAGGGAUCCUGAGGACCAGUGGCUCCAAACAAGGUAAGCAUAGCUGCUGAAGAGUCAUGAAGAAAACUCCUCUCCUCCACCUGUGCACAUGCAUGAAUAAACACAUAUACACACCUGCCACAGGGAACAAUCAAACUCAGUUUGGUAUACCACAUAGCAAAAUCCCAGGAUUCUUCCAAAAGACAAGGCUACCACUUGCUAAACCAACCCAACAGGUCAAUCCACUUUGGAUCCCAGAGAGAAAACCCUGGCCCUGUCUAGGGCCCAGCUAGGUGUUUGGGAAAAAUCCAUGGGUUCCUGCCUGGCUGCUGGACGGAUGUGUCCUGCUCAUACUCUGAACCACGACAGAGAGAAACUACUAUUCUCAGAAUCUCAAGCCUCUCUCUGCCUGCCUCUUAAGUUCUGAACUGUACUAGGUUCUUCAUGCUAGUGGGAAUAAAUGGGACUACCCCAUGAAACACAAACUGGUAUCAAGGGCCAAGCUUGCCUCAUAGUCCCAAAGAGACCUGGUAACUUGGGAUGAGCUGCUCAGAUGCAGGGAUCACUGCAGGCUAUGGCACCCUUCACAGAUACUUGAGGUACAUGCUGAGCUGUACUGGGAAGGUUUGGGGAACAGAAAGAGCCACCUCUGCACUGAGGACAGUCAUUUUGUAGACAUGAUGAAAUCAUUUAAUAUCUUCUCACAGAGCCAGGGUUGUGGCUCAGUGGUAGAGUGCUUGCCUAGCAUAUGUGAAGCACUGGGUUCUAUCCCUGGCACCACAUAAAAAUAAAAACAAAUAAAAUAAAGGUAUUAUGUUCAUCUACAACUAAAAAAAAAAUUUUUUUAAAUUACAACUACUCUGCAGCCCCCUGCUCUUAACAGCUUCCAAAGUUCUAUCCAAAUGUCUUUUGCUGGCAUUUUAGCUCUCUGGCUGGCAUUAUUGCUGGCAGGGGGUAAUCCCAUUUAUUCCCACUGGCAUAACAGCUGGAAGCCUCCUUAAAAGGAAACUCUUCAUUGUCCUCUUCUCUCCUGAGCCUCCAGUAGCCAUUCCAGGUCUGAGGUUGGGGCAGGGCAGUGCCAUGGAGCCCGGGGCCUGACUUUCAGGGAGGACAGGAGAGUAUUGGGGGAGCAGAAAACCUGUGCCUGACCAGGUAAGAGCCAAGACCCAAGUUUCAGGGGAGGAGAGAGCCCAAGGAAGCAUGAUUUUGGCUAUCCAAGCCCCAUCUCCAACCCAAUGGGCAGAACACCUUAGCUCUAAAUGCACACAAGCUGCAGCUGUGGGCUCUGUGGCCUUCAGGGAACACUGCAUCUGCCCUGGAUCAGUGUUAGAAGGCAUGGCCUGUCUGCCACUUAGUUAGUCUGUGCUAGGCUGCCAUCCCCUUUCUGGGUCUUUCCUUCCCCAGCUCUGUUGCACACACCUUAAAGAGCCCUAGACUAUGACAGAGGUAGCUGGCCUGUUGGGACAUUCCUGUGAAAGCUGACAUGGCAGGUCAUGGUCACACCACUGUCACACCCUCACCAGUCACCAGUACAAUAACCCGUGUAGGGUUGGUGGGUAUCUGGGGGCAGCUCCUCCCUGCCACUCUGCCCUUUUCCUCCAUAGGAGCUCUGAACAUCUGCUUAACCAAGCCUGGUGUUCCUGCUCCUAGGCCUGGUUCCAACCUUCCCUAGGACUGAGACUUCCACAUCUUCCCACCUUUCUGGAUCCCAGACAGCUUCCUCCAGCAAGAUCCACUCUAGUGGAAUAUAAAAGUCUUCUUGUCCCACCUGAACCUGGUGACAGAGUGAGAGGAAAUCAAGACCUAGAGACAUGAAGUAACUUAUCCAAGUCACCAGGAAGAGGCAACGCCAGGCCUGAGGCUCAUCCUGCUGACUACACUGUUAACCCCAUCAUCCUGUGUCUUACUACAUGAUGUAUCUCCCUGAGCACUCAUUUUCCGCUAGGACCUGAAGAUUGAAGCUUCUUCCACAAGUGUUUUUCAUUCUUUUUUUUCCCCCUUUGGUCCAUCUGUAUAAAGUCUAUGUUAAGAAUCA